ACUCCUACGGGAGGCAGCAGUGGGGAAUCUUGGACAAUGGGCGCAAGCCUGAUCCAGCCAUGCCGCGUGAGUGAUGAAGGCCUUAGGGUCGUAAAGCUCUUUCGCCUGUGAAGAUAAUGACUGUAGCAGGUAAAGAAACCCCGGCUAACUCCGUGCCAGCAGCCGCGGUAAUACGGAGGGGUUAGCGUUGUUCGGAAUUACUGGGCGUAAAGCGCGCGUAGGCUGACUAUUAAGUCAGGGGUGAAAUCCCGGGGCUCAACCCCGGAACGGCCCUUGAUACUGGUAGUCUUGAGUUCGAGAGAGGUGAGUGGAAUUCCGAGUGUAGAGGUGAAAUUCGUAGAUAUUCGGAGGAACACCAGUGGCGAAGGCGGCUCACUGGCUCGAUACUGACGCUGAGGUGCGAAAGUGUGGGGAGCAAACAGGAUUAGAUACCCUGGUAGGAUAGCG
rnacentral:rRNA from 1 species